rnacentral:lncRNA from 1 species
UUUCUCUCAUUUCUAGUUUUCUCUGCAGGCAAAUUAAGAAGGUUAAAAAUGGUGUUCUCGGCCAUACUAAGUUGCUUUGUUCCAUCUUCUUCCUCGACCCGAGUCUUCAAUGAUGCUGGUGGGUCUAGUUUGAAGGAACCUAAGAGCAAGUCAUCGAAAUCUUCAUCAAGAGCUCCGAUCCCGGUCUCUUACUUCCCUGUUAACUCCUACCUCUCUCGCUUGUAGUGAUUAAUUUGAUCGCAAGUUGGAGUUAGACUUUGAAGAGUACCAAUGGAUUAUUGAUUCAGUUUAUGUAUUAUAUGAUGGGGUUCCUCAUCAUGCAGUUGCUUGAGGAGUGAUGAUGGAGUUUGUUUUAAUGUACAGUUUGAUGAUUAAUUUGCAAUAAUUAGAUUCAAGAAUAUUGUUAAUUUCCUCCAACUGCAUGCAAUGAAACAACUCUUUUUAAUAUAAAGUUGGGUAUGAUGAUACCAUGAAAUUACCUGCAACCAAAUAAGACAUUAACCCCAACUGAACUUCCUUGUUGUUUCUCAAUUUGAUCAGUAAAGGAGGAAGUCUUAAAAAAGCCAAUGGAAAAUGACCCCACCAUUUUAGAGAAACACUAGGUGAAAUUUGAUCCACAGAAUCUUCUAUACAUAUUUUAAAGUUGUGAGUGUCUCUUAAACCUAUAAUGGACAAUAUCUAUGUGAGAGAUGACAAGUUAUUAUAAAUAAUAUUAGAGUUAAUUCUUUAUCCGUGAAAGUUUGUUUGACCUUGUAAAUGGUUUUUAUCUUUUUGUUAUCAUAAUUCUAUGCAUUACAAUGAGGACGUUGCGUCUUUCUGAAGGCCACGCUAUAUAUGUAUUGAUUUUUCUUCAUUUUAUAAGCAUUCUGAAGGCCACGCUAUAUAUGUAUUGAUUUUUCUUCAUUUUAUAAGCAUUUUUUAAAGUCAUGAGUGUUUAUGAGGCACAAAACGGAUCACUACAAAUAUUUAUAUAGAUUUGCAUUUAAAUCCAAUAAAAUAUUAAAGAAAAGACUAAAACGGAACUUCGGUAUUGUAACUACUUAUGACCUAGUAGUAAACCUGAUUUUAAUAUAUCAUAUUAGAUUAUUUAUUUUUUAAAUACAUAAAUUGUUAGGUAAUAGAUCAACGAUAUAUACUAGACCGUUAACAUUAUCUAUAUAUUUAUCUUUGAAUUGAGCAGCAACAGCGAUUGACAUGCUUGUUGGUGGGACCUAAUUCAACAAUGAAUUGUAUUAUCACAUAUUUUAAUACUUAAAGUUUCUAUAAUUAAUUAGUCUUUGAAAAUGAUACAUAUUUAUUGUAGAGGCUACAACAAAAGCCUCUACAAUUAUUUUUAAGAGAAAUUAUUUAAGGGAUUUUUUGUAAUAAGAACAUGAAAUAAUAAUUUAUUUUUUUUCAUAUGUUAUAUUCUAACAAAAAAAAGUCCUUUAUUUUUUCAAAAAAGCGUCUAUUUCAUAAAUUAAUAUUAGUGAUUUUCUAGAUUUUUAAAAAUUUACUAAGCACAAUAUUAAAAACUUUUGUAUUCUAGGGAAGUCAUGAGACUUGGUCAAGAUAUGGAAUAUGGGAUGACGUUAAGCCUGAGAAAGAAAAUAUAAUUUCCCGGAAUAAGUAAAAGUAGGAUGUCUAAGGAAGAAAGCAUGAGAAUCACAUUGGAUGAUUAGUUUUAUCCUAUCAUAUUUAUUUAAUCUUAUUCCAAAGGAGACUUUAACUAAUAUGUUUUAAUUUUCUUCAUUGUUUUGGUCCCACCCUCUAUUUGUUUGUUACCUAGACCUUCCCAUUUUUGCUAGAAGGUUUUCUUCUUCUGGGUCAGACUAAUCAAAAUUUCAAAAGUUUAGUUGUUGGGUCUUUUUCUAUAGUCAGAUCAAGGUAGCAGCAGCUGCCACGAUUGUCACAGGAAGCUCAAGGGAAUCAACCAUCUCAUAUAUUUAUCGUUUAGCUUUCCUUGAUAUGCAAGUAAACCAACCCUACUACCAUUUCAGAUCUGCAUUAUAAAUAGAGAAGCAUAUGUUAGCCUAAUAUUUCAUCAAAUAUCACACACUUCCUCUCUUUUCUAGUUUUCUCUGCAGGCAAAUCAAGAAGGGUUAAAAAUGGUGUUCUCAGCCAUACUAAGUUGCUUUGUUCCAUCAUCUUCCUCGUCCCGAGUCUACAAUGAUGCUGGUGGGUCUAGUGUGAAGGGCCCUAAGAGCAAGUCAUCGAAAUCUUCAUCAAGAGCUCCGAUUCCGGUCUCUUACUUCCCCGUUAACUCCUACAUCUCUCGCAUGUAGUGAUUAAUUAAUUUCACUGCAAGGUGGAGUUAGAAUUUGAAGAGUAUGAAUGGAUCAUUGAUUCAGUCUAGGUAUCAUAUGAUGGGGUUCUUCAUCAUGCAGUCGCUCAAGGAGUGAUGACGGAGUUGGUUUUCAUGUACAGUUUGAUGAUUGAUUUGCAAUAAGUUGAUCGAAGAAUACUGUAUUAGAUCUUCAUCUUGUUAAUUUCCUCCAACUGCAUGCAAUAAACAGUUCUUUUUAAUAGAAAGUUGGGUACGAUGAUACCAUGAAAUUACCUGCAACCAAAUAAGACAUCAGCCCCUACUAUGAAAAUUGAGAAACAACAAAAGAGUUCACUUGGGGUUUCCAUUGGAAAGAAUCGGUACUUGAAAUAUUGGCAAUCAGUGAUUACCAUAUGUAUAACUGCUAAGUAAACCCUAGAAUCAGUUAGGGUUUAUCAUCAUCGAAGACAAAGGUUGUUCGAAUCAUAUAUUAAGCAAAAACUACUUACAUUAUACAGAUGAUGAUCAGUAAGGGAAGAAGUCUUAAAAAAGCCAAAGGAAACUGAACCUACGAUUUUGGAGAAAUUAGGGUGUAAUUUGAUCCACAAGGUGAUGACUGAUGACUAGAUAUGCAUGGUGGGAUUUGCCCCAGCGGUCCAUGAUGAUAGAAGGCUAUUAUCCUUUUACACAAGCACUAAAAGAAAAAGGAUAAAUUAAGUCGCCUUGCUUUGUCCUUUCAUCCGCCCAAAAUUCUUGCAAUAUGCACCUCAAAUCAAACCUAAGAGUAUCAAUCACUCUCUUUCUCUCCAUCCAUUAAAAAGUAUUAAUUUCAAACUUGUGAUAUCUCACAUGUUGGAAGUAGAUUUGUAUAGGUUUUUUAAUUUUGUAGAUGUACUUUAAAGUUGUGAGUGUCUAUUAGACUCACAAGGAAUAAUAUCUAAAUGAGAAAUAGCAAGUCAUUACAAAUGAUAUUAAAGUUGAUCAUCGAUCUUAAUAUGAGAGUUUAUUUGACCCUGCAAGAGAUCUUUUUAUUUCUAUGAUCUUAUGAGAUACAACGAGAACGUUAUGCACUUAUAUGAGGGUGUAUUAUAUAUGUAAUGAUUCUUCUUCAUCUUAUAAAUAACUUUUAAAGUUGUGAGUGCGUAUGAGACCCAAAACGGAUCAGUACAAAUAUUUAUAUAAACUUAUAUUUAAAUCCAUUAAAAUAUUAUUUGUUAUAUUAAAAUAAAUUGUUGUUUUUUAAAUGAAUUGGAAAUAUUUUGAAGUGUUUGUUCAUAAAGAAUUUUGAUAAAUAAUUGAAGAUAUGAAGAUUAAUUGUAGGGGACUCGUGACACGUAUUCAACAUAUCAAAUAUAAUUACUGAAUAAACAGCCAAAAAAAUAAAUGUAAAAAAUAAAAAAAAUACCAGGGCACCAGCUGAGAGAUGUGGAAGGGUCUUUAUCGGCCAAGAAGAGGAUGAGAUUGGCCUUGUUCUUCGGCGCUUCUGAUCUGAACUUCUCCAGCACGCCGUCGAACGUCGACACAGUGGCGUCCACCAUUUUCAGCGGCGUAUUCGCUUUUUCUCAGGGGUAUUUUGGGAAAUCUAGACAAUAUCAUUGCUUGACAACAAUGGCAUUCGUCUGUGCUCCUUUUACAGGUUUUAAGCUAAAAUUUGCCCACCCACAGGUGGUGAAAUUCCUGAUAUGCCCUUCAUAUUGGAGUCACCAAAAUCUCCAUGACAUAGUAUAUCACAUUUAUGUCAAAUUUGGAGCCAAUGAUAUAUUUUGUGGUUUUAAAGUUCAUUAUAUACUUAGAAAGGCUUAGAAUACAAAUUUGAUAAGGUCAAACAAUGAUAUUUUUCUAAAAAUUUUUGUCCUACGAGGUGGGCACACAUACCUAGAAAAGCCUAAAUCCUUGACAUUAUGCAAUCUUACUUUACAAGAUGGUAGCAAAUAAUUAAUUAUUUUUCAAACACCGUAUCCCCUUAAAUAUUAUAGUUGGUUCAAUAAGUGGUAGAGUCAGGAUUUCAAUUAGGGGACUAACUCUUAAGACAUAUGUAAAUUUUGCUGAUCAUAAAAGAUGUGGGCUUUGACCCAAUAACCCAUCCUUGGCAUUUUCUAAGGGGGGGCAUAAGUUGGUUUGGGGUGGGAAGUGGAGAUGGCUGGUUUCACCCUUGGGUUCAGUCAUUGUAUUGAUUGAUCCAAUGAAGAAUAAUAUUUAGUAUUGACAUUUGCCUUCAUAAAUGAGCUUAAUAGUAUUAUCUUGGUGAGUGCAAUCCAAUAAUUAACUUGAUAUGUGUUUUUCAUAAAAUUUUAUGUAUCUUUUUAUAUUUGCCCUUUACUACCAAAUGUCAUUGUUCAUUUUGAAUUUUUUUCUUCUAUAAUGAAUAAAUACUUUUAAUUUAAUAUAAAAUUAUAAUUAAUCAUAUCAUUUUUUAGAACAUGUAGUAAUAGUAAAUAUGUGUUAACGUCUUUGAAUCCGGGACUCGCUUUCUAUGAUAAAAAGAAUAUACCAUUAACAUUAUGAAAUGAUUUUUGAAACUCCCACCAAUCAACAUUAAUUAGUUAGUCCUUUUUAGUUAGAGAGUUAAUUUUACUAAGACCCCUAGGGUGUAAAUACGUACACAUAACCAUUAUUAAUUUUAAAUUUUGUCACUAAGUGUCUUUGUAAAUUUAUUUUGUUUAUACAAUUUAUUUUUUAAAGAGAUUUUAAGGAAGUGUAAUUAAUAAUUUUUUGAAAAAUAAGUUUUAUUCUUAAAUUUUUUUUAUAUAUGAAAUACAUUUAUAGAAGUGCUAAUUGAUAGAAUUUGAAACUAAUGAUGGUUUAAUGUAUUUAUACUGAACCUUGGGAUGUGAAUGAAACUAGCCCUUAGCGAAAUAGGGUUGAGGAGUUAAACAUGCAUGGGUUGAUUGUAUUAAGGAUGAAAAGUACUAUUAAGUUCUUGGAGACCAAGCAAAACUUGGUUAAUACUCCUAGAAUCAUCAGGUGGUCGGACUAGAAGUCAAAAGUUUUGGAGGAAUUGAAAACGACUUCCUCAAACUACAGACACAAGUGUGGGAAACAGGAAGGAAUUAAUUAACCAUCUAAGCUGGGGAGAUGGGGACACAACAUUUGAAUUUCCUUGCUAUACAAGAAAAUUAGUCCAACUUCACAGUAUAACACAUCAUCAUCUUCAUUCAAAUGUCAUCACUACUCACACUUCAGCUAGCUAGCUCUUGGCUUCUCAAACACUCACUUCCCUUAACUUCUGAAUAGAAAAAUUAAGGAGAAUUAAGGGUGAUUCAACAAUGGUGCUCUCAGCCAUUCUAAGUUGUUGUCUGCCAUCAUCAUCGUCGACUCUGCCUCGGGUGUCCGAUGAUGGUGGUGGGUCAAGAUGUGACAUUAGGCAAUCUUACCUUGCAAGAUUGUGGUUAGAUUGUAGAAUAAGCUAGCUAAUUUACUAUUUAUCAAACACUUUUUUCCCUAUAAAUUGAACUUUUUAAGUUAACUUAAGCCCCAUCUAAAGUUAUUAUAGCUACUAAUUAGCAAUCACAUCUCCCUUUCUAAUGGGAUUCUUAUCAACCAUUUUCAGGUGUUUGAUGUCUUGUUUUUCAAGCAAUGAAGCAAGAAAAUCUCCAGAGAAGCCUAAGAGAAAAUCAAAGUCAUCUAGGGCUCCCAUUGUGGUCUCUUCCUUCCCUGUCAACUCAAAUCUUUCUUGCUUAUAGCAUGCUGAAAUUUGAAAUGUAGUUGGUUCAAUCAUGGUAUGGACUGAUCUAUAAUUAAUGGCAAUGAAGCCAUGGUAUUGAUAGUUGCCUUUGCAAAUGAGCUUAAUGUUCUUAUAUAUCUUGGUGAGUAUAAUUCUAACUAUUUGAUCUGUCUUUUGAAUAUGAUUUAUGGUAUUUUACCCUACUGCAUGCCUUUGCUUUGGUUACCUCCUUGUGUGAACUGCCCAAUGGUCAUAAAGAUUAAUGAGUUUAAGCCUUGUUACGUUUACCCAUGCACAAAUUUGUAAUGUCAUUCACUUUGAAUUAAUUUCUUGGUGUAGACGUAUGAAACAAAAACUCUUUAUAUGAUACAAAAUUAUAGCUCUUAUCAUUUUUAAGACACGAUGAUGGAGGACGACAUCAUUCACUGCUUGAAGACCAAGCAAAACUUGGGGAAUACUCCUAGAAUUAUCAGGCGCCACACAAGUCAAAAAGUUAUGAAGGAAUAUUGAAAAUGGCUUCCUCAAUCUAGAGUCAAAGCAGCCACUAGUGUAGGAAACAGGAAGGAAUUUACCAUCUAAACAAUAUCACAAGCUGGGAAGAUGGGCACAUACCAUCUGGCUUUCCUUGCUAUGCAAGAAAAUGAGCCCAACUUCCAUUUCAAAUUAAACUUCCACUAUAAAUAUGUAGAAUCGUCUUCAUUCAAAGCUCAUUAAUACAAACUCACACUUCAGCUCUUGGCCUCUCAAACCACUUUGUUUAAUUUCUGAAAGCAGAAGGAGAAGGGUGAUUGAUCAACAAUGGUGUUCUCAGCCAUCAUAAGUUGUUUUCUGCCAUCAUCAUCGUCAUCUCGGGUGUCUGAUGAUGCUGGUGGGUCAGGCUCAAAGGUGCCUUCCAUGGGGAAAGACAAGAUGAGCAAAUCAAAUUCUUCAGGAGCUCCAAUAGUUCUUUCUUACUUUCCAUUGAACUCCUAUCUCUCUCGCUUGUAGUUGUACUACUAAUUGCAUUCUGAGGAAAGGGGAGUUGAAUUUGCAGAAGGUAUCAAUGGUUAAUUUCUUCAGCUCAAUGAUGUUAUGUGGAUCAGUUAAUUAAUGGGGCUUCUUGAUCAGUCAGUUCAGAGACCACACACCAUGGGGCAGUUGCUUAUGGGGUGGUGAUGUUGAAGGAAGAACAGCACUCAUGUACAUAUAGUUUGAUGAUUGAUUUGUAGUUUGAUUGAAGCAUAUCAUGUAAGAUCAUGGGUCCUUUAUUUUUAUUAGUAAUAUCCUGAUGAAUAAAAUUCAAGUGUAAUCCAAUUGUUUGAUUUGUGUUUUGGUAAGAGUUCUUAUUUCAUGUUAAUCCAUAUCCAAAUUCUUGUGCUUAACUUAAUAUAUUCAACAUAUUUUCAAUUAUAUCUUCGAAUUCAAUAAAAAAGACGAAGAAGAAGAGGAAAAUCCCUCAAAUUUGAAAUAAAAUACAACUUUAUUUUCAAAAUAAAUUCUCAAAACUAUUUUUAGUCCAAAAUUUAUUCUACCUAUGCUUUAAUUUGAAUUUUUUUUUUAAUUUUUCAAAAAUAGAAAAUCAUUUUAAAAAUUAAUUAUAACUUACCAUAAAGAACUGAUCUUCAAAUUUGAUCUAAUAUCAUGAUCCCUUUUUUGGUAUGAUCUCAAGUAUCUUGUUCUUAUCAUAUAUAAAAAAAAUGUUCUUAAAUUAAUACAAAAUGAUGAUAUGUCAUGUCACUUGAGAUACUUUCGAAAUGAUAGAAUAGAUAGAUUAGAAUUAGAAACCAGGAUCAUAGAAAUAAAAAAUUUAUUAUUAUGAAAAUCAAAGUCAACUUUUACAAGAAUCUUAUCCUUUUCUUACACAAUAUAUUAUGAUAGAUCUUCAAUAUUUUCACUUUUAUUCUUGCAUUCCAAACACUUCUAGAGAAUUUGCAUUCCAAAAUCAAAGCCAACAUUAGAGAACUUGUCACCUAGAAAGUUAGGUCUUUUUUAAUUCUCACAUUGAAGAAGCAUGGACCAUGUUUUUGUAUUUUAAUUAAAAUUGUUUCCAAUAAUUUUAUAUAGAUAUUAUCAGUCAUUCUGCUAGCUGGUCAUUGCAACCUCACAGCACAUGCCCACAUACUAAUAAAUAUCAGAAACUUCUUCCUAGCUAGGUAAUGUGGGGCAUGGCAAAUAAUUGAUAAAAAAUGAGAAGUCUUCAAUUCUUGGUGACCAAGAAAAACUUAGGUUAAAGCAACCACAGGAGUAGGAAGCAGAAGGCAACCAUCUGAUCAACAGUACUAUAAGUUGAGAACAUAGGCACACGUAUCAUUUGGUUUUUCUUGCUAUACAAGAAAAUCAUCCCAAUCCCAUUAUAAAUACAGAAUUAUCUUCACUCAAAUCUCAUCAUCAACCUUCUAUUUCAUAAUUUUUCAGACAUAGGAAGAGCAAAAACGAAAGAAGAAAAAAGACACGUAAAUCAUAACGGUAUUCUUUAUUAAUCUCAUCUUACACAUACAAACAUAUAUAUAUAAAGAAAAAUAAAAUUUUAACGUAAUUGAUAAUUGAUAUGAUUCCUAUGCUCACGGAAUACAUCAACACUCAAGAAUCUACUUCAUUUGACACGUAUAAGCAUAAAUAAAAAAAAACAAAAUUUUAAUAUAAUUGAUAAUUAAUAUGAUUCCUAUGUCCAUGGAAUGUUCCGAUACUUUAAGUUUGAAAUAUUAGGCAGGUACCAUAGUGUGGGGUUAUCCUAUUGUAUUUGCAUGCACCUCAAGACCCAAUACCUUGUGGCAUGACUUAGGUUAGAUAGUACAUUAUUUGGGAUAUCCAUGGUACAACCUAAUUACUUUGAUUUGUAGGAAUCUACAUAUAAUCUCAAUUGAUUUCAAACAAUUAAUUUGAUUUAGAAAAUUGAUGAGUUUAAUUACCAGGCACAUAAACUAUUUCUUCCACAAACAUAAUUGUGUCAUACAUCUUAUGGAUAAAUUACACUAGUGACUAUAAGACCAUGAUUAAAAUUUUUAUCCAAACAAUUAUAAAAAUUAUGGUUGAUAUUUAAACAAUUUUUUUUAUUAAUAAAAAAACUAUCCUAAAUGAGAUUUAAAGAAGGUAACAUCACUGAUUUGAUUGCCUCCGCUAUUGCAUUGUUACCUUACUUUUGUACUCAUCUAAGUCAAUUGCCCAACCAAAAUAAUGAUUUACUAUUCUUAAUGACCACACGACAUUCAUUAGUAGAUAAUGCGUCACACCUUCUUUGAAGAUGGGCAGGCUAAGGAAUAUUCUUAAACCAUAAGUAAUUUAAUUAUAGAAUAUUCAUUUAUAGAAACUCAGUCACACCAGUUAGCUAGGCAACAAAUCAUACAUUCUCAUUUGACUAUAAAUGAAAGUUAUAAUAGCUUCUAAACAUAUAUAUAUAUAUAUAUAUAUAUAUAUAUAUAUAUAUAUAUAUAUAUAUAUAUAUAUAAACAUAGUAAAGAUAUAGUUAUAAGUGAUGUUUGUUUUUUGGUUAAAUAGAAAAAGCCAAAUAUUUUGGUUUUUUCUAUUCAGUUAAAAGUAACUAAUUGACAUCAACCAACAUCAUUAAACUAAACUUAUUGAGAAUAAGUUCACUUUAAUUAUGUUGGUUAGUACCAAUAAGAUACUUUUAGCUGAAUAGAAAAAAUCAAAAUAUUUAGCUUUUUCUAUUCAGCCAAAAAAUAAAUACCAUUAUAGUGUUUUAAAUUCUUUAGUAGAUAACGAGGUAGGAUUAAAAAUAAUUAUUUUUCCCAUUCAAUUGAUUUGUGUUUGACAACUUUUUCUAAAUAUUUUUUUAUAUUAAAAAUAAGUGUAAUUUUGGUUUUUGUUUUUAUAAAAUUUAAUUUAAGAAAUAUUUACUUUUGACAUCAUGUUAUUUUCAAAUGUAAAUUCGAUCUGGGGUUUGUCAGCUUUAUUCAAUAUGGUUAAAAAUUACAUCUAAUUUUUGUAUAUUUUUCAAAUUGAGACUUUUAGUUCAUAUGAUAGUGAUUUUAGAAAAUCCUUAUAUUUUUUUUAAUAUUUAAUAUUUUUUAUCUUUUAAAUGUUAAAAAACUAAAAACACUUUCUAUAAUAUUAUCAAACACACUCAUAUCCAAUAUGUUUUUUUUUUCCACAUAUUUGAUCCACACUUCCAAUAAUUAUGGUCAAAGACACUCAUCGCUGAUAUGGUUUUUUAUGUACUUAUUUCAUCCUUUGUGUAUAUUUUUCGAAGUAUUAAAAAUACUUUCUAUAAUCACCGUUAAAUACACAUAUCCUAUAUGUUUUUUUUUUUAAAUAUUUGGUCACACUUCCUAUGACCACGGUUUAAGAGCCUCGUAUCCUAUAUGUUUUUUUUUACAAAUUUGGUCCCACCCUGUCUGUAUGUUCCCCGAAGCUUCCCACUUUCUCUAAAAAGAUUUAUUCUUAAACUCAAGGGGAACCAUGUCAUAUAUGAUUUGGCUUUCCUUGCUCUGCAAGUAAAUCAAAUCCACCUCCAUUUCUUAUUUCAAAUCUGCACUAUAAAUAGGGAAGCAUCGAACCCUAAUGUUUCAUCAAGUAUCUCACACUUCCUCUCAUUUCUAGUUUUCUCUCAGGAGAAAGAAGGGUGAAAAAUGGUGGUCUCAGCCAUACUAGAUUGCGUUGUUCCAUCAUCUUCCUCAUCCCAGGUCGUCGACUAUGCUGGUGGCUGGCCUUCCAUGGAGAAACCUAAGAGCAAGUCAUCAAAAUCUUCAAGGCUCCAAUCCUGGUCUUUCACUUCCCUGUUAACUCCUACCACUCUCGCCUGUAGUGGUUGAGUUAAUUGCUUGAGGAGUGAGAUGGAGUUUUGUUUUCAUUUACAGUUUGAUGAGUGAUUUGCAAUAACUUCAUACAAGAAUAUUGUAUGCAAUGAAAGAGCUAUUUUUGAUUGAAUGUUGGGUAUGUUUGAUGCCAUGAAAUUAAUUACCAGCAACCAAACAAGACAUGGAACCCUAGUUUGAAAAUUCAGAAACUAACAACAAAAGUUCAGUUGGGUAAUGAAUAGCAGUCAGUGAUGGCAUAUGGGUAAUAGUUAAUUAGAGUCACUAUUAAUUCAGGGUUUAGAGUUUAAAGUUUAUACUUAGUUGUUGGACACACAUAAAGAUCUAUAAAGAAUUCUUAAAAAAUCAUUUAAAAAUAAAUAAAACAAUAAGUUAUUUUAAUAUAAGAAAAAUUUUAAAAUGAUUAAUUUUUUUUAUAAUCAUUUUAAAAUUUAAAUAUUUUUAAUUUAUUUUUAAGCUUUUAAAAUGAGAAAAUAUCAAUUCUCGGAAAUUUUAAAACACUACAAAUAAUGUAAAUUGUUGGUGAUCGGAGAGCAAACUCCAACAUUAAAGACCUUUUCUCACUGAAGAUACUCUCUUUCCACACAAUGGUUGUUUUUUUUAACAGACUUGCCUAUUAAAAAAGGGUCAAACACCAUGUUGACAAAGGGGAGACUAAUGAUCUAAAAACUAAAAACAUUUUGUGCUGAAAAGCCCAGGAGAGGACUAAGCCAAAAAUUAAAUAUUUGGAAAGGGGAAAAUUUUAGGGGAUAUGUUGGAUAUCAAAUUUGUAAUCUUGGUAGUCAUUUGAAAUAUAUAAUGAAAUAUAAGUUGUUUGAUAUUUAUAGUUAUUUUCAUGAAUAAUGAUGGUCAUGAGGUCUUUUUGCGACGUCUAGGAAGCAAGCACGUGGAGUUAAAUAAGCAAAGUUGCAUGAGGCUUGGGGGUGCAAGCCUAUUUCGAUCAAUCCAAAGUUUGAGGCUGAUCGAGGGAAUUAGAGAUAUUCAAAUGAGUUCAAAUAUAUACAUAUUUUUAAAUUAUGUACUCAUUGAGGAUUAAUUUCAUACAUUUUCAAAAGAUUUGGAUGCCGUUUUCCUAGUUGAAAAUUUUGAAAUUUUUUUAAUGGAAAAUAAGAAAAAUGUUGAAAGAGCUUAUGUAACAUUUUUCCAAAAUACUACACUAGGAGGACACCACCUUAUAACUUGAUGUCAUUUUCCCAUUCCCUGGUGUCAUUUUGUGCUGAAGAUGAGCUAUGUACACCCCAAAAAAUGGCAAGGUCACUUUAUGCUCUACUACCAUUCCUCACUCCCUGCCACCAUUUCAUGCUAAAACUCCAAGACAAUAUGAGCCCACCAUUUUUGGACCUUUCGAGUUCACCAUUGGAUCUCUUAUAUUGUUUUUGAUACGUUAACGAGGUACUUAUGACACAUGGGAACACCUAUAUAAAGCCAUUUUGCAGUUAAUGAAGGGGGCGCCUUUGAGGAGAGCCUUUGGGCUACUAGCUUGGGGAGGAGACCAGCUUGUUCCAGCUUGCAUGCUUUAUUUGCUCGACGCUUUGCUCAUUUUAGUAAUUUGGUAAAGUUUUGAACUCACUGCUCUUGAUUAUACUUGAUUGUAACUACCAUUAAUAUUUGGUUUUGAAGUUGAAUUUGAAUGAUUGUAAUAGGUACUUUCUUAUGCUCUGAUUUUGUUCUUCACUUUGGUUAUAUUUUUGUGGCUUUUGAGUAGUAGUUUAGGUUGAGGAGAAGGGGGUUCUUAGGACCUCCAUUGUGUUUAUGAAAUGGACUCUUAAAUUCUAAGUGUUUGAUGAUACAGUCAGCAUGUGAGCUUUGUUUUUAAUUAGAAUAUCAAUAUUCCUUAAUAUUUGAAAAUUGAAGUUUGGGGGACCCUUAAGGGUAUCUUAAGUACUUAAUGGUUGAAAGUCAUUUUGACUUGAAAUGACUGUUAUUGAACCUCUAAUUAUUUGAUAACAAAUGGUAGUGGAAGCUUCAAUGUGAUAUCAUAUGGAGUUUCAAUUCACAAGUAUGAGACAUUGGGUUUGAUUAAAAUGUGCUUGUGUUGCAAAUCCUCUAACUAAGAAUACCUAUUGGUGACCUUAAUUGUGUCAAUUUCAUUAAGGGCUAUUUCAUGAAAACAAAGGAGUUCCAAGAGAUCUCCUAAUCCUUGACACUUUUUUAGCCUCCUGUUAAUAAUCUUUCCAAUUCCAUUGCACACCUAACAUCUUUUUCCUUUGGUUUGACUCUCUGACUCAUGGAGAUAUUAAAAUGGCAAUGUACUCCUUAUUGUUACAUACGCAUUACGAAGGAUGAAAAGUAUCCAAUUCUUGAAGACCAGGCAAAACUUGGUGAAUACUCCUAGAAGUAUCAGGUGGGUAACAUUAGAAGUCAAAAAGUUGUGAGAAACGGAAUUGAAAAUGACUUCCUCAAACUACGGUCAAAGCAGCCACAGGUACGUAGGAAACAGGAAGGAAUUUACCAUCUAAACAAAAUCACAAGCUGGGAAGAGGGGCAUGUACCAUCUGGCUUUCCUUGCUAUGCAAGCAAAUUAGCCCAACUUCCAUUAACUCCACUAUAAAUAAAGAACCAUCUUCAUUCAAAUCUCAUCACUACUUACACUUCAGGUAGCUCUUGGCCUCUCAAACCACUCACUUUCCUUGACUUCUGAUCAAAAGAAAAUAGGGAGAAUCAAGGGUGAUUCAACAAUGGUGUUCUCAGGCAUUUUAAGUUGUUUUCUGCUAUCAUCAUCAUCUUCAUCGCCUCGGGCGUCCGAUGAUGCUGGUGUGUUAAGCCCAAAGAAGCCUUCCACGGUGAAAGACAAGAGCAAAUCAAAAUCUUCGGGAGCUCCAAUUGUGGUGUCUUACUUCCCAGUGAACUCCAAUCUCUCUCGCUUGUAGUAGUACUAACUGAAUUGUAAGGAAAGAGGAGUUGAAUUCAAGAAGGGUACCAAUGGUGUUUAUUAAGUUCAAUGGUGUUAUGUGGAUCAGUUAAUGGGGUUUCUUGAUCAGCCAGUUGAGAAACCAGACCCUGGCGCAGUUGGUCAGGGAAGAAUAACACUGAAAAUAGUAAUAUCAGUUGUAUAUAUAGUUUGAUGAUUGGUUUUUAAUUUGAUUAAAGCAUGCAUAUGGUAUAAGAUCAUGGUUUCUUGAUUUGUUUUUUCUUAAGAUUUCUCCUAUAUCUUGUUCUCAGAUCCCUUUACCUUGUUUACCUCCUUUUCUGAAGUUCAGAUUUUCUUCAUCCAACACACUGAUAAGUGGCUCUGAGCCUGCCUAAUGACCUUGAAGAUCAAUGGGUUCUUCAUUUACUUUUCUUUUCGUCUAUGAGCAAUGAACUAGAGAUCAGUGAAUGAAAGAAAAAAAGGAAAUCUCAUAGAAAGUAUGCAACAUUGCUGAAGAAAAGAAGAUGAAGCUGUGAAUAUAUACGUAUAUUGAUCAGUUGAUGACAAUUCGAUCUAUUGAAGAUUUAAUUUAAACCUUACCAGAGCGAUCAAUUGAACUGCUAUUAACUAUUUGCUUGAGAAAAAACAAGGGCAUGUUUCCCAAUGUGGAUCCUAUCAGUUAGGUUACCUGGCCAUUUCAUGCUAAUAAAUAUCAGUAACAAAAUGUGAGGCAUUACAGAGAAUUGCUAAAGAUUAGUGAAAAGUCUUCAAUUCUUGGUGAGUAAGAAAAACUUAGAUUAAUGUUGCUAGAAGUAUUGGAGGUCAUAGAAGUAAGUCAAAGUUCUCAAGGAACUCAUGAGGAUGAAUUCCUCCGAGUAGGGUCAAAGCAGCCACAAGGGUAGGAAGCAGGAGGCCAGGAACCAUCCGAGCAAUACUAUAAUUUUCUCGGACUUGGGCAUAUAUCAUUUGGCUUUUCUUGUUAUGUAUACAAGAAAAUUAACCACCCCAAUCCCACUAUAAACACAGAAUCAUCUUCACUCAAAUUUCAUCAUCAACCUUCUGGAUCAUAAUUUUCUCGGACAAGGAAGAGCAGAAGCCAAGCCAAUUACAAUGGUGUUUUCAACCAUCUUGAGUUGUUUCUCGCUUAGUGAACUGGUGAAAUCUAACAGCAAAUCAUCAAAACCUUCACAAGCUCCAAUACUGGUUUCUUACUUCCCUGUCAGCCUUCAUCUCUAGCUUGUAGUACUUUAAUUACGAAGGAGAGAUCAUCUGCUGAAUCAUAAUGGCAGAAACGGUUUAUUCAUCUGGUAUAUUGAUCAACUCAUGGGGUUUUUUGAUGUAUAAAUUCAUUAAUUCACGAUUGAUUUGUAAAUUAAUUUGAUUGAAGCACACAUAUUAUAUAAGAUUAUUGUUUCUUGAUGAUAAUUAAGCUAAUCAUCAUAUAUACCUUUCCUUACUAUAGAAAAACCAGAUAUUAGGGCUUGUUUGGAAACAAUUCUGAAAAAUAUUUUUUGAGAACAAGUUUUAAAAAUUGUUUUAGGAUAUUUUGUAGAAAAAAAUUUAUUUUAAAACUUGAAAUGUUUUUAAUAUUUUUAAAAUAAAUUUUAUAAUUAUUUUUUAAAAUAGCUUUAAAAAAUAUAAGUGAAAACAACUAAAAAAUGUUUUAUGGAAAUAUUAUGUUUUCUAAUUGUCAAACGUGUUUUCUAGUUUUUUGUUUCUGAAAAACGAAAAUUGUUCUCCAAAACAAUUGCUAAACAAGCUUUAGGUGGUAUUUGUUUUUUUACUUAAUUCUAAAUAGAAUAUUAAUACUUAUUAGUAUUAAAUAUUAGGUUGUUUGUUUUUAUAGUAUUUUAUUUCUAUUAAGUAUUAAAAAAUAAAAAAACACCAUUGUGUUAUUUUUUCUAUUUAGAAAAAGCCACAUAUUUUGACUUUUUCUAUUUAGUAAAAAGUUUAUAAUAAGUCAUGAAAAAGUAAAAAAACAAACAACCUAAAUUUUAAAACUAAAUGAUUUUAAGCAAAAAAUCAAAAAAACAAACACCGCCUUAGUCUACUUCAAUCCUCAUUUGUAAUUAUCUUGAUUAAUAAUAUUGUGGUACCUUUGGCUAUUACCAGUUGGGACGCUUGACCCAAUAUUUGAUAGUAGAGUUCUAAUUAAUAUAUAAUUAAAAUUUUCUAAUUAUGUUUAAUUUAAUGAUGGGAUAUUAUUGAACAACAUCAUAAAAAAAUUUAAUAUUAACUAGAUUUAUCAAUUAAAAUAUUAAUAGCAUUAUCAUUUUUAUAUAUUAUUCUUCUAUGUCAUAUACCUUGAUGCCGUGAUGAAUACUUCUAUUAUUACGGAACUUGAUAAAGUCGAAAAAUAUUGUUAUAUACCGAGAGUGACUUUCUUCCUCCAUGGUCAAAGCUGGCACAUGCCAUAGAAAGUGGAAGCUCAAGAGCAACAUGGGUACUUAUAUCAUUUGACUAAGAUAAAAUUAAUUGAGAUAAAUAUUAAUAAAAUUAAAAAAGCAGGUAAAUAUGUCAAUUUGAUAAUUAAAAAAUAAAUUAAUUUUAUCGAAUAAUAAAAAUCAAAUAAUAAAUUUUAAGUUUAUAAUUUAAGAAUAAUUUAAUUUAAAAUUAAUUAAAUUAUUAAAUAUAAGUAUUAAAUUUGACCAAAAUAUCAUUUUCACCUCGCCUUGAUGAAGCCAUUAAGUAUUUAACAUUAGCCAUUGAUUUCUUUUUGGAUCAUUUUGAAACCCAAUGAUGUUGGAGGGAUGUUGAUGAUUUAUUGUUUGGUAUAUUUUAAGGUUUAAAGGAUAAAUAGUAGUACUGAAUACUUCCUACUAUCCUGACCAGUUCUUAAAGUCCAAAUGAAUUGAAAAUCUUGUGACACUGAAAGUGACUUUCUUCCGAAAUGGUCAGAGCAGCCACAACUGAUGGAAAUUCAAAGGAUCCAACUCACAAUUUUCACAAGAAACAUGGUCAGUUGGACUUCAAAUUGCUUUAUAUUCAAGAUAUUAAGAGCUCGAUAGGUUUGCAUCGCAGAAACAAACAAGUGAUUUUAGCACCGAGUAAUACUUGACUUCAUUAGAAGAGUAGGCAUGCAACGGUCCAUUGCUUUUUAGAGCAUCAAUACAUUGUCGGAUUGCCCUCACGUAGGAUGUCUUAUUUUUCCAAAAUAUAAAUAAAUCCCAUUAAUUAGGAAGAAAGCUUGAGAAUCACGUCUAAAGGAGACUUAGUUAAUAUAUAUGUUUUUCUUCAUUGGUUUGGUCCCACCCUCUAUUUGUUUGUUCCCUGAAGCUGGUUAGACUAGUCAAAAUUUGAAAGGUGGUGUAAUUUGACAUGACUGUACUUCAAAGACAUGGACGCCACCGCACCAAAGUUUAGUUGUUGGGUCUUUUUGUAUAGUCGGAUUAAUCCACUUGCUGCCACGAUUCUCACAGGAAGGUCCAGGGAAUUGACCAUCUCAUAUAUUUAUCAUUUAUCUUUCCUUGCUAUGCAAGUAAAUCAACCCUACUUCCAUUUCAAAUCUGCUGUAUAAAUAGAGAAGCAUCUUAGCCUAAUAUUUCAUCAAAUAUCAGACACUUUCUCUGCAGGCAAAUUAAGAAGGGUUAAAAAUGGUGUUCUCAGCCAUAUUAAGUUGUUUUGUUCCAUCUUCUUCCUCGACCCGAGUCUUCAAUGAUGCUGGUGGGUCUAGUGUGAAGGAACCUAAGAGCAAGUCAUCGAAAUCUUCAUCAAGAGCUCCGAUCCCGGUCUCUUACUUCCCUGUUAACUCCUACCUCUCUCGCUUGUAGUGAUUAAUUUCAUGGCAAGGUGGAGUUAGAAUUUGAAGAAUAUCAAUCGAUUAUUCAUUCAGUCUAGGUAUGAUAUGAUGGGGUUCCUCAUCAUGCAGUUGCUUGAGGAGUGAUGAUGGAGUUUGUUUUAAUGUACAGUUUGAUGAUUAAUUUGCAAUAAUUAAUUUCAAGAAUAUUGUUGAUUUCCUCCAAUUGCAUGCAAUGAAACAGCUCUUUUUAAUGUAAGUCGGGUGCGAUGAUACCAUGAAAUUACCUGCAACCAAAUAAGACAUUAACCCCAACUGAAUUUUCUUGUUGUUUCUGAAUUUGAUCAGUAAAGGAGGAAGUCUUAAAAAAGCCUAUGGAAAAUGACCCCACCAUUUUGGAGAAACACUAGGUGAAAUUUGAUCCACAGAAUGAAGAUCAGGUAUUCAUGGUGGGAUUUGCCUUAUGGUCCAUGACGAUAAAAGCUUAUUAUUCUUCUAUGCAUGCACCAAAGAAAAAGGGAAAAUUAAGCCGCCUUACUUUGCCUUUUUAUUCUCCUAAAAAGUCUGCAAUAUGCGCCUCAAAUCCAACCUAAGUGUCUCUGACACCCUCUUUCUGUCCAUCCAUUAAAAGGUACUAACUUUAAAAUUGUGAUAUCUCACAUAUUAUAGAAAAAAAGUUUGAUUUUAAUCUUGUAUAUAUAUUUUAAAGUUGUGAGUAUCUCUCGAACUUUAAUGAACAAUAUCUACGCAAGAGAUGACAAAUUAUUAUAAAUUAUAUUAGAGUUAAUUUCCUAUCCAAUGAAAGUUUAUUUGACCUUGUAAAUGAUUUUUAUCUUUUUGUUAUCACAAUUCUAUGCAUUAUAAUGAGGACGUUGCGUCCAUUUGAAGGUACGCUAUAUAUGUAUUGAUUCUUCUUCAUUUUAUAAGCAUUUUUUAAAGUCAUGAGUGUUUAUGAGGCACAAAAUGGAUCACUACAAAUAAUAAAAUAUUAAAGAAAAGACAAAAAGGGAACUUCGAACAACUUAUGAAGAUCAACAAUAUAUACUAGACCGUUAACAUUAUCUAUUUAUCUUUGAAUCGAGCAAGCAACAGUGAUUGACAUGCUUGUUGGUGGGACCUAAUUCAACAAUGAAUUGUUUUUUUUGAUAGGAAACAAUGAAUUGUAUUACCACAUAUUUUAAUACUUAAAGUUUCUAUAAUUAAUUAGUCUUUGAAAAUGAUACAUAUUUAUUGUAGAGGCUACAACAAAAGCCUCUGCAAUUAUUUUUAAGAGAAAUUAUUUAAGGGAUUUUUUGUAAUAAGAACAUGAAAUAAUAAUUUAUUUUAUUUUUCAAAAAAGCGUCUAUUUCAUAAAUUAAUUUUAGUGAUUUUCUAGAUUUUUAAAAAUUUACUGAGCACAAUAUUAAAAACUUUUGUAUUCUAGGGAAGUCAUGAGACUUGGUCAAGAUAUGGAAUAUGGGAUGACGUUAAGCCUGAGAAAGAAAAUAUAAUUUCCCGGAAAGUAAAAGUAGGAUGUCUAAGGAAGAAAGCAUGAGAAUCACAUUGGAUGAUUAGUUUUAUUUAAUCUUAUUCCAAAGGAGACUUUAGCUAAUAUGUUUUAAUUUUCUUCAUUGUUUUGGUCCCACCCUCUAUUUGUUUGUUGCCUAGAGCUUCCCAUUUUUGCUGAAAGGUUUUCUUCUUCUGUGUCAGACUAAUCAAAAUUUCAAAGGUGGUGUAAUUUGACACGACUUUCUUCAAAGAUUCGGGCCCUAGUGUACAAAAGCUUAGUUGUCGGGUCUUUUUCUAUAGUCAAAUGACUCAGAUCAAGGUAGCAGCAGCUGCCACGAUUGUCACAGGAAGCUCAAGGGAAUCAACCAUCUGAGAUAUUUAUAGUUUAGCUUUCCUUGAUAUGCAAGUAAACCAACCCUACUUCCAUUUCAGAUCUGCAUUAUAAAUAGAGAAGCAUAUGUUAGCCUAAUAUUUCAUCAAAUAUCACACACUUUCUCUCUUUUCUAGUUUUCUGAUCAGGCAAAUUAAGAAGGGUUAAAAAUGGUGUUCUCAGCCAUACUAAGUUGCUUUGUUCCAUCAUCUUCCUCGUCCCGAGUCUACAAUGAUGCUGGUGGGUCUAGUGUGAAGGGACCUAAGAGCAAGUCAUCGAAAUCUUCAUCAAGAGCUCCGAUUCCGGUCUCUUACUUCCCUGUUAACUCCUACCUCUCUCGCAUGUAGUGAUUAAUUUCAUUGCAAGGUGGAGUUAGAAUUUGAAGAGUAUGAAUGGAUCAUUGAUUCAGUCUAGGUAUCAUAUGAUGGGGUUCUUCAUCAUGCAGUCGCUCAAGGAGUGAUGACGGAGUUGGUUUUCAUGUACAGUUUGAUUGAAGAAUAUUGUAUUAGAUCUUCAUCUUGUUAAUUUCCUCCAACUGCAUGCAAUAAACAGUUCUUUUUAAUAGAAAGUUGGGUACGAUGAUACCAUGAAAUUACCUGCAACCAAAUAAGACAUCAGCCCCUACUAUGAAAAUUAAGAAACACACAAAAAAGUUCAGUUGGGGUUUCCAUUGGAAAGAAUCGGUACUUGAAAUAUUGGCAAUCAGUGAUUACCAUAUGUAUAACUGCUAAGUAAACCCUAGAAUCAGUUAGGGUUUACCAUCAUCGAAGACAAAGGUUGUUCGUAUCAUAUAUUAAGCAAAAACUACUUACAUCAUACAGAAGAUAAUCAGUAAGGGAAGAAGUCUUAAAAAAAGAAAAGGAAACUGAACCUACGAUUUUGGAGAAAUUAGGGUGUAAUUUGAUCCACAAGGUGAUGACUGAUGAGUAGAUAUGCAUGGUGGGAUUUGCCCCAGCGGUCCAUGAUGAUAGAAGGCUAUUAUCCUUUUACACAAGCACUAAAAGAAAAAGGAAAAAUUAAGCCGCCAUGCUUUGUCUUUUCAUCCGCCCAAAAGUCUUGCAAUAUGCACCUCAAAUCAAACCUAAGAGUAUCAAUCACUCUCUUUCUCUCCAUCCAUUAAAAAGUAUUAAUUUCAAACUUGUGAUAUCUCACAUUGUAGGAAAUAAUAGCCUAAUAUUAUAUAUGUAUAGGUUUUUUAAUUUUGUACAUGUACUUUAAAGUUGUGAAUAUUGUUGAACUUAAAAUGGAUAAUAUCUACAUGAAAAAGAGUAAGUCAUUACAAAUGAUAUUAAAAUUGAUCAUCAAUCUUAAUGUGAGAGUUUAUUUGACCCUGCAAUGAAUCUUUUUAUUUCUAUGAUCCUAUGAGAUACCACAAAGAUAUUGUGUACUCAUAUGAGGGUGCGUUAUAUAUGUAUUGAUUCUUCUUCUUCUUAUAAAUAAAUUUUAAAGUUGUGAGUGCCUAUGAGACCCAAAGCGGAUUAGUACAAAUAUUUAUAUAGACUUACAUUUAAAUCUAAUAAAAUAUUAUUUGUUAUAUUAAAAUAAAUUGUUGUUUUUUUAAAUGAAUUGGAAAUAUUUUGAAGUGUUUGUUUAUAAAGAAUUUUAAUAAAUAAUUGAAGAUAUGAAGAUUGAUUGUAGGGGACUCCUGACAUGUGUUCAACAUUUCAAAUAUUGGCGAGUACCUAAGAUAUUUAUUUGAUAUUAUUCCAAAGGAGACUUUAGCUAAUAUGCUUUAAUUUUCUUAAUAGUUUUGGUCCCACCCUCUAUUUGUUUGUUCCCUAGAGCUUCAUAUAUAUAUAUUAGACUAGUCAAAAUUUGAAAGGUAAUAUAAUUUGACAUGAUUUGUCUUCAGACUUGGACGCUACAUUCCCCCUGUACAAAAGUUUGACUGUUAAUUCGGUUUUUUUCUAUAGUCAGAUUAAGCUGGCAGCAGCCGGCACGAUUGUCACAGGAAGCGCAAGGGAAUUUACCAUCUCAUAGAUUAAUCAAUUAGCUUUCCUUGCUAUGCAAGUAAAUCAACCCUACUUCCAUUUCAUAUCUGCAUUAUAAAUAGAGAAGCAUAUGUUAGUCUAAUAUUUCAUCAAAUGUCACACACUUCCUCUCAUUUCUAGUUUUCUCAGGAAAAUUAAGACGGGUUAAAAAUGGUCUUCUCAGCCAUAUUAAGUUGCUUUGUGCCAUCAUCUUCCUCGUCCCGAGUCUUCAAUGAUGCUGGUGGGUCUAGUGUGAAGGAACCUAAGAGCAAGUCAUCGAAAUCUUCAUCAAGAGCUCCGAUCCCGGUCUCUUACUUCCCUGUUAACUCAUACCUCUCUCGCUUGUAGUGAUUAAUUUCAUGGCAAGGUGGAGUUAGAAUUUGAAGAAUAUCAAUCGAUUAUUCAUUCAGUCUAGGUAUCAUAUGAUGGGGUUCUUCAUCAUGCAGUUGCUUGAGGAGCGAUGAUGGAGUUUGUUUUAAUGUACAGUUUGAUGAUUAAUUUGCAAUAAUUUGAUUGAAGAAUAUUGUAUUAGCUAGAUCUUCAUCUUGUUAAUUUCCUCCAACUGCAUGCAAUGAAACAGGUGUUUGAUGAUACCAUGGAAUUACCUGCAAAUAAAUAAGACAUCAAAACCAAUCUGAAAAUUCAGAAACAGCAAAAAAUUAAGUUCAGUUGGCCGGGGAUUCCAUUGGAAAUUAAGAAUCGGUACUUGAAAUGGAAAUUAGUGAUUACCAUAUGGAUAACAGCUAAUAAAACCCCAGAAUCAAUUAGGGUUUAUCAUCAUAUAUUAAGCAAAAACUACGUGCAUUAUACAGAUGAUGAUUGGUAAAGGAAGAAGUCUUAAAAAUGCAUGCCAAUGGAAAAAUUAGGGUGAAAUUUGAUCAACAGAGUGAUGAUUAGGUAUGCAUGAUGGGAUUUUCCCAAUCCGUCCAUGAUGAUAAAAGCCUAUUAUUCUUGUAAACAUGUACUAAAAGAAAAAGGAAAAAUUAAGCCCUCCUACUUUUCCUUUUCACCCCCCAAAAAGUCUCCACUAUGCACCUCAAAUCAAACCUAAAAAUCUCUAUCACUCUCUUUGUGUCCAUUGGUUAAGAAGUACUAAUUUCAAUAUUGUGAUAUCUCACAAGUAUAGAAAAAAAGUUUUUAACACUAUAUAUACACGAACUCCUUUUAAUCUAAUAAAGUCAUGAGUAUCUGUCAUACUAAGAACAAACAAUAUCUAUGUGAGAGAAAAAAAGUUGUUAUAAAUAGUAUUAGAGUUUAUCUUUGAUUUCGUUGUAGAAGUUUGUUUGACCCCACGAGGGGUAUCUGUUUCUUUAAUCCCACAAUCCUACUGAACAUAGUUAAGACGUUGUAUUCGUAUGAGAGUCUAUUCAUGUAUUAAUUCCUCUUAACCUAAUACACUACUUAUAAAGUUGUGAGUACGUAUUAAACUUAGAAUAUGUACUCAUAGUAGGUCAUUACAAAUAUUUAUGCGGACUUACAUUUAAAUCCAAUAAAAUAGUGUUACACAAAUAUUAUAUAAGUAUGAAACACACUCUCAUUUGAGUAUAUAUAUAUAUAUAUAUAUAUAUAUGUACACUACCGAAUAAUGGUUCCUUAAUUUGAUUAUAUGUCUAAACUAGACAAUUGAUAAAAAAAAUACUUUGAAAUGAAAUUGAUGUAAAAGAAAAUAAUGAGUUAUAUAAAGAGUAAUUAAUGCGACCUUUGGCCUUAUAAUUAAGUAUGGUUAAAUUACAUUUUUUAAUUCUCUUAGUAUGUGAGACCCAAAUUAUUGAAUAUUUUUUUAGGUUGUUAUUCAAUUGAUGAGAAUGACAAAUUUAUGGCUACCAACAAUGAUGUUUAUUAUUUAAAGCUACUCAUUUUGAAGAAGUCGCAUACCAAUCCUUAAACUAAAUCAAUUAGGUCUUAACUACUUUUUUAUUUAAUUUUUUUUUUGUAAUGAGUUGGUCAACACUGAAGCCUUAAUUUUAUGUUUGAAAACUUUAUUUUAAAUACACUUCUAUUAAAAAUAAGAAUAAUGUUAGUAUAUUUAAUAGUUAUUACUACUUUGGUCCCACUCUGGAUGUGUUCGUUCUCUGAAGCUUCCCAUUUUCUCUCGAAGGUAAUUUUUGUCUAAUGUCUCUCUAAGUUUUGAAAAGUUUUCUCAAAGACUUGGCCACCACAUCCCCCCUGGACAAAAGUUUAAUUUGGUCAAAUUAAGCAGCCAGAAUUUUCUCCAGAAGCUCAAGGGAACCAUCUCACAUAUUAUUUGGAUUUCCUUUCUAUGCAAGCAAAUCAGCACUAUAAAUAGCGAACAUCUUGGCAUAAUGUUUCAUCGGUCAUACUUCCUCUCAAUAUUUCUGGUUUUCUCAGACAAAUUAAGAAGGGUGAAGAAUGGGGUUCUCAGCUAUACUAAGUUGCUUUGUGCCAUCAUCUUCCUCAUCCCGAGUCUUCAAUGAUGCUGGUGGGUCUAGUGUGAAGGAACCUAAGAGCAAGUCAUCGAAAUCUUCAUCAAGAGCUCCUAUCCCUGUCUCUUACUUCCCCGUUAACUCCUACCUCUCUCGCUUGUAGUGAUUAAUUUCACUGCAAGAGUUAGAAUUUGAAGAGUAUGAAUGGAUCAUUGAUUCAGUCUAGGUAUCAUAUGAUGGGGUUCUUCAUCAUGCAGUCGCUCAAGGAGUGAUGAUGGAGCUGGUUUUCAUGUAUUGUUUGAUGAUUAAUUUGCAAUAAUUUGAUUCAAGAAUAUCGUAUUAGAUCUUCAUCUUGUUAAUUUCCUCCAACUGCAUGCAAUGAAACAGCUGUUCGAUGAUACCAUGGAAUUACCUGCAAACAAAUAAGACAUCAAUCCCAAUUCUGAAAAUUCAGAAACAAGAAGAAAUUAAGUUCAGUUGGGGUUUCCAUUGGAAAUUAAGAAUUGGUACUUGAAAUGGCAAUAAGUGAUAACCAUAUGCGUACAGCUAGUUAAACCCCAGAAUCAGUUAGGGUUUAUCAUCAUGUAUUAAGCAAAAACUACUAAUUACAUUAUACAGAUGAUGAUCUAAAAGGAAGAAGUCUUAAAAGCCUAUUAUUCUUGUUUCCACAUGCACUAAAGGAAAACGGAAAAAUAAAGCCACCUGCUUUGCCUUUUCAUUCUCCCAAAAGUCUCCAAUAUGCACCUCAAAUCAAACCUAUGAAUCUCUGUCACUCUCUUUCUCUCCAUUAGUUAAGAAGUACUAAUUUCAAUACUGUGAAAUCUCACAAAUAUAGGAAAAAAUUUCCUAAUGCUAUAUAUACAUGAAUUCCUUUAAAUUUUAUAAAUUCAUUUUGAAGUUGAGUACCUUUUAAACUUAGAACGAGAACAAGUUGUUAUAAAUAGUAUUAAAGCCGAUCUUUGACCUUAUGUGAGAGUUUGUUUGACUCUAUAAGGGAUAUUUGACUUCUUUUUUUUUGUUCCACAAACUUAUGAAACAUAAUGAAAACAUUGUAUUUGUAUGAGAAUAUGUUAUUUAUGUAUGGACUUCUCUUAACCUGGUAUGAAACUUUUGAAGUUAUGAGUAUUUAUUGAACUCCGAGUAAGUUAUUAUAAAUAUUUAUGCAGACUUAUAUUCAAAUCCAGUAAAAUAGUGGGGAAAAGAUAAAAAACAUAACUUCAAUAUUAUUUGUUACACUUUUGGACUCAUGACCUCCUAUUGCAUAAACCUGAUUUUAAUAUACCAUCUUAAGUUAUUAAUUUUUUUAAAUACAUAAAUUGUUAGGUAAUAGACUAGUGAUGUAUCGGCUCUAACAUGUUGGACUUAUCUUUAAAUUGAACAUGUCCAACAUACUUGUUAGUGGAACCUAAUUAAUUGUUCAUUUGAAAGUGUCUUUUCCAUUCAUCUAAAACGUGCACAGUAAAUUCACAAACCCACCAAACUUGAUGGAACCAUUGGCUGAACAUACCAACUAUAUGUUAGCUAGCUUGCUCUUCCUUUCUCUACAUGGUAAGUAACAAAGGGGUAUUUAAUGUUUUAAUUAAAGUCAUUAAAUUUGGUAACUUCGCUGUUACAAAGAUCAACAACAAAAGUACCAAGAUUCAUAAAUAAGUUCAUCAUUUUCUUGUUCUUAGCAUUUGUAUCUAAGUGAAGCUAUGAAAAGAGUUCAAUUCUUUGUUACCCCACAAACCACAAUCAUUUUUCUUGCUAUUAGCAUCACUUCUAAUAAGUCAAUGUUGCCAUAACUCUUUCGGGUGUUCUACACUUUUAAAACUGCAUUGAUUUUUUUUUUUUUUUUUAAUUAUGAGUUUCUUUGUUCUCUAAAAUAUGGGUGAAUUAUACUAAGAAGUAUAAAUUCAGGAUUGAGAUUUAUAUCUAAAAAUUCAUAAAAGUUACAUUUGAUUUUUAAAAUAAUGCUUUUAGUAUUUUAAAAACUUUGCCAAUUGGGUUUAAAAAUUAGGCCAUUGAUAAAAAAAAUAUAAGGUUAAAAAAAAGAGAGUUAUAUAUAAAGUAGUGAGACCUUAUUUGACCUUACAAUUAAGUGUGGUUAAAUUACAUUUUUUAAUCCUUUUGGAAUGUAGAGACCCAAAUUAAUGAACAUUUUUUUAAGGGUGUUAUUCAAUUUAUGAGAAUGGCAAAUUUCCGGCUACCAACAAUGAUGUUUAUUAUUUAAGGCUACUAAUUUUGAAGAAGUCAACCACCAAUCCUUAAACUAAAUCAAUUAGGUCUUAACUACUUUUUUUCUUUAAUUUUUCUUGUAAUGAGUUGGUCAACCCUGAAGCCUUAAUUUUAUGUUUGAAAACUUUAUUUUAAAUACACUUCUAUUAAAAAUAAGAAUAAUGUUACCACCAUGGAUGUGUUUGUUCUCUGAAGCUUCCCAUUUUCUCUCAAAGGUAAUUUUUGUCUAAUGUCUUCCUAUUAUGAUUGUAUGUAAGAGUCUAAGUUUUGAAAAGUUUUCUCAAAGACUUGGCCACCACAUCCCCCGUGGACAAAAGUUUAAUUUGUCAAAUUAAGCAGCCAGAAUUUUCUCCACAAGCUCAAGGGAACCAUCUCAAAUAUUAUGUGGAUUUCCUUUCUAUGCUACCAAAUCAGCACUAUAAAUAGAGAGGCAUCUUGGCCUAAUACGUCAUCGGUCAUACUUCCUCUCAAUAUUUCUAGUUUUCUAAGGAGGGUGAAGAAUGGAGUUCUCAGCCAUACGAAGUUGCCUUGUGCCAUCAUCUUCCUCAUCCCGAGUCUUCAAUGAUGCCGGUGGUCUAUUGUGAAGGAACCUAAGAGCAAGUCAUCAAAAUCAUCAGCAAGAGCUCCGAUCCCGGUCUCUUACUUCACUGUUAACUCCUUCCUCUCUCGAUUGUAGUGAUUAAUUUCAUUGCAAGGUGGAGUUAGAAUUUGAAAAGAAUAUCAAUGGAUCAUUGAUUCAGUCUAGGUAUUAUAUGAUGGGUUCUUCAUCAUGCGGUUGAUUGAGAAGUGAUGAUAGAGUUUGUUUUUCAUGUACUGUACUUUGAUGAUUGAUUUGUAAUUUGAUUCAAGCGCAUUAUGUUAGAUCUUCAUAUCGUGAAUUUCCUCCUACCGGCUGCAAUGAAACAGCUGUUUUAAUACAAAUAAUUAAGACAUCAACCCCAGGUCGAUUUUGUCAUAAGUACUUUUUCAGGUGUUCUAUACUUUUUUGAAAGCGCGGACACGACAUUUCUUGAGAGAAUUAAAAUUAGAGUCAAAGCCGUCUCAACGCAAACGUCAUCCAUUAGAGUUUGAGAUCAGGAUAAGAAAAGAAAAAAAAGAAGGUUGAAUGAAUCAAUGGAUGUUAAUUGAUGUCCAAUUUGUGAACGUGCUUGUGUGUCUAUAUAUAUAUAUAUAUAGAAAGAAAGUAUCUCAUCCGUUAAAGUUUGUGAUCAGGAUAAGAGAAAAAAAAAAAAAGGCCGGUUGAAUGAAUCAAUGGGGUUAAUUGAUGUAUAAUUUGUGAGCGUGAUUGUGUGCCUAGAAAGUAUCUCGUCCAUUAGAGUUUGUGAUCAGGAUAAGAGAAAGAAAAAGGUUGAAUGAAUCAAUGGGGGUUAAUUGAUGACUAAUAUGAGAGAGAGAGAGAGAGAGAGAGAGAGAGAGAGAGUAUUGCAUACUUUUUGGAGGAUUAAAAGGCAAAGGGCAUAGGCUUUUAUGAUCAUGGACCUAUAGGGCAAAUCCCACCAUGCAUACCUAAUCAUCACUCUGUGGAUCAAAUUUCACCCGAAUUCCUCCAAAAUUCAUCUGUAUUAUGUAGGUAGUUUUUGCUUAAUACAUGAUAAACCCUAAUUGAUUUUGGGCUUUAAUUAGCUCUUAUCCCUAUGGUUUACCUAUAUUGCUCAAUUCUUUCCAUUGGAAAAUUCUUACUGAACUUCUUUUGUUGUUUCUAAAUUUUCAGAAUAGGGUUGAUGCCUUAUUUGGUUGCAGUUAAUUUCAUGGUAUCAUUGUGCCGGACUUUCGAUUAAAAACAGCUGUUUUAUGGCAUGCAGUUGGAGAAAAUUAACAAGAUGAAGAUCUAAUACCAUAUUCUUGAAUCAAAUUAUUGCAAAUCAAUCAUCAAACUGUACAUGAAAACCAGCUCCAUCAUCACUCUGCAUGACGAAGAACUCCAUCAUAUAAUAAUACCUAGACUGAAUCAAUGACCCAUUGAUACUCUUCAAAUUCUAACUCCACCUAGCAGUGAAAUUAAUCACUACAAGCGAGAGAGGUAGGAGUUAACGGGGAAGUAAGAGACCGGGAUCGGAGCUCUUGAUGAAGAUUUUGAUGACUUGCUCUUAGGUUCCUUCACACUAGAGCCACCAGCAUCAUUGAAGACUCGGGACGAGGAAGAUGAUGGCACAAAGCAACUUAGUAUGGCUGAGAACACCAUUUUUAACCCUUCUUUUGCCUGAUCAGAAAACUUGAAAUGAGAGGCAGUAUGAUUGAUGAGAUAUUAGGCUAAGAUGUUUCUCUAUUUAUACAGUAGAUUGGAAAUGGAAGUGGGGUUGAUUUACUUGCAUAGCAAGGAAAUAAAGCCAAAUCAUAUAUGAGAUGGUUCCCUUGAGUUUCUGGGGAAAAUUC